UACAUGAUGUAAUGAACACUGAGUGUUGUAUGCAACUGAUGAAUCAUUGAACUCUACCUCUGAAACUAAUAAUACACUAUAUGUUAAUUAACUGAAUUUAAAUUAAAAACAAAACAAAACAAAACAAAAAUAAACCACUGUUUUAAGCACCAAGUCACUAAAAUCUCAACAGUGAAUGUGGUAGAUGAGAUUCUACUUCUUUCCAUUCUGGUUGGAGAGAUAAAGAAUGCACAAAUAUACCAAAAAUGAGUAAGAAAAAUUAAAAUAAUCCAAGAAGAGUGGUGUAAGAAUGACCUGAGGGGAUAUUUAAUCUGAUAAAUGAAUCAUUAGAAGGAGUGAUUCAUGUGUAAUUCAGGGGGAACUAACCUUUCAGAGUAAAGAAAUAUCAUGUGCUUCUCAAAAUUAUCAGGCUCUGUAUGUUCAAGAAACAGACAGAAGGCCAGUAUAGGUGGAGCAGAAUAGGCAAGAAGAUAUUAGUCCAACAUGAUUGUGCCAGGAGCUAGAUCUUGUAGGACUUUUCACCCACAAUAGGGAGUUUGAAUUUUAUUUUUAAGUAUAAUAUGAAAAUAUUGAGAGAUUUUAAAGCAGAGGAUGACAUAGUAUGAUUUGUAAUUUAUAAAGGUUACUCCAGUUUUUAUUGGUAGAAUUUAUUACAAAGAGGCCAGCAGGACAGUAGGUGACCAGUUAGGAACCUAUCCAAGUUGUCAGGAGAGAUGAAGGUGGCUGGGUGUAGAUGGUAAUAGUGGAACUGGAAAGAAGUGGAUGAGUUUAGAAUAUGUUAUGGUUGAAGAGUUAAAACCAUUGGAUUGCAACACUGAGGAAAAGAAAGGAACCAAUGGGUAAUUUCUAGUUAUGGGGUAAAUGAACUGGGUAAAUGAUAUUAGGAAGACUAGAGGAAGACCAGGAUAGGGGUUGGUGUAAGGAAUCAAAAAUUUCAAAUAUAUCAAGUUUUAGGUGUCAGAAAUUAUGAGAAGAUAAGCAAGCAGUGAAAUAUAGAAAUCUGAUGUUCUGAUGAGAAUCUGGGCUUGAGACAACCAUUUGGCAAAUAAUCCAAAUAAUUGAUGAUAUUUAAAGCCAGGGCACACAUGAGAGUGUUACAGAAGAAGAUGAGGCCCAGAAAGGAGCCCUGGGCAUUCUAACAUUUGUAGGACAGGCAGGACAGGAGCAAGGCAGCAACAGAAACAGGGAAGACAUAGCUGGCAAGGCUGGAGGAAAAUCAGCCAGGCAUUGCAGCUAAGAGAAGAGAGCAUUUCAGGGAAGGACAGUCGACUGUGUUUAGUAUUGUUUGGAGUUUAAGUAAGAUAAGAACAAAAUGGAGGUCAUUGCCUAGGCUGAAAGGAGCAAUCUUGGUGGGGUUGGUUGGUAUGGGAUUGCUAUUAGAAUGAAAAGUGAAAAAGAGGAGACCACUCCUUUCUACAACUUUUUCAAUAUGAUUGAAGUGACAUUUCAAGCAUUUCAGUACAAUGAAAAAAUUUCUUCAGUUUACUGACGGUGACAAUUCAAAUCAGUUGGGAGAACAAGGAUUAUUUCUUAAAUGAUCUUGGUAUGAUUUCUUACUACUUGGGAAAAAAAGUUUGAUUGCAGUGUUUUAGGGAAAAAAGUGAACUUCAAAAGGAUAAUAAACCUUAUCUCUAAGAAGUGGUAUAAUGAAUAUUUUCCUUUUGUAGUUAAACAUUUUUGUAUUUUCAUUUUUCCACGGUAUACUUUUUUUUUAGUCAAAAGAAUUAAUGUCUCUUCAUGAAAACCAACAGUUACUAGCAGGUUAUUAAGUUCAAAACAAAUUAAGUAAAUUCAAUUCAACAGACUAUUGCAGCUUUGCAACAUUAGUGUGCCAUCUAGAAAGGUGCAUAAUAUAAGAAUCUUGAGUUAUAACACAAAAGUGAAGGGAAGUGAGUGUCCUAAGUGAAAUACAAGCACCUAAAACAAGUCAAAAGAAGGACUCAUAACUUUUGGUUUUUGAUCUAGUAAAACUCUGAAACGAAAGGGCUUGACAAAUGGAACCCCAUGGUGAUAGGGUCAUAUGAGCAACAUCAUGGAGUGGGAAGGUAGAACUUGUACCGCAUUGAGUAACCCUGUGGGAGAAAUCCACAGGAUGUGGUAAAUGACCAGUGGUUACCCAGAGAGCUUGCCAGGGAAGUUAGUAAUAGGGAAGAAACCUUAAAGCCUCCUUUUCUUUUCCCUUAGGAAUGUUUGGUCACUGAUUCAAUAGCAAAUAAGCAAGUAGCAUCUAUAACCAAAGAUCUCUGCAGCGUGUAUAUGCACGUGUGUGUCUCCAGUCACCAUAGGAGAUCACAGUCAGUUCACAAACAGCCCUGGAUUCUUUCUUUCUUUUUUUUUUUUUUUUUUUUUUUUUUCCUUUCAAGGCCUUGUUUCCAGUGCUCAAGUAGCUUGUCCAAACCUAAUUAGAGAAGGGUUAGCUCUGAUUAAGGUUUUUAAAAAUGUGGUUAGUGAAAGAGGCCACAAAACAGAGACUUCGGAACUGGAGUUGGGUAGAAACACCACUCCUCUCUGUUUUAUACAGUGGCUGUGAUUGCCGUGGGUUGUGAAGAUUUACUGGAUUGGUCCAUUGCUCAUGUUGAAGUCCAUCUAGUACUGCGUGUUACAAAGAUAUGAAAGAUCUGGAUUUCUGCAUCUGACUCAGUCGUGGAUGGAGGUGCUUCCUUGCAAUUGAGACAACUACUUUCUGGGUAUAUAGAGGAGUAAAAUGAAAAACAAAGUAUGUAAGCAAGAGAUGAUUCAAAAUUCCACUCAUUUGUGACUCAGAAGCAAUGAGUCUAAGGCUAUUGUUAGCUACUUUCCCUGGCUCUCCGCAGUCCCUGGGUAAGUGCUGCCUAGGAAAGAUCUGAUGUGGAGAGGCCCUGACUGCACUGCUACUAUCAGGAAACCAUGGGGUCUCUGGUGUGUACUCAGAUACAGAAAAAGAAGACUUUAAAAUGCCAGUGGCAUUACUCACAUGUCUUUUCUUGCUGUCUCAGUGUGUUCUUCACCCUCACACAGAGAUUGACACACAUUCCCCUGGUCCCUGAUAAAAAAUAGAACCCAUUUCUCAUUUCAGCUCUCAAAUUAUGGAACGAUGUGUCCCAAGCCUUCAUAAUCUUCUUCAAUGCAGAACCUGAAGCCAACAUAAACACAGUGUUAUCUGGGUGCCUUUAUUAUGUUUAUGUACUUAGAACUUUUAUAUAAAUUGUUUUCCCUUGAGAUGCUACUCAUUGCUGGCAAGUCCUGUUGUGCUGCUUGUAUUUCCCUUCAUUUAACUUUACUUUAAUGCCAAUGGGUUGUGUGCUUGACUAUAUUUUCCAUUUAAUUUCAGAAUGUUGGGCUCUUAGUAAAGCAUAAUGAGGAGCCCAAUUCACUCUCAGUUCAAGUUUUGGAUAAUGUGCUUCUGCGUUAGAUGAAGGGGAUGCAUCUCUUAUGGCUUCCCUCAGUAUAGUUGUUCUACCAUGAAGCAGCUGGGCAUGGGCAAAUGGCCCCUGUACAAACUGAACACUUCUUUUCUUUCUCUGACAAUCAUCUCCUUCCCUCUUAUUACACUGGCUAAUUCUUAUUAGACUCCUAAUGUGUACCCUGGGCUCUCUAUGUUUGCUGGACUUACUGAGACUUUCUUUUCCAACUCAGUGUCUUUCAUUUUCUCUCUCUACCUGCAUGCUCUCUGAGCUCCCAGGGGGAAUUAUGACCAGCUCGUCUAUACACUUCUCUAGUAAUCUGGCACAAAGACCACAGCUAACAGCUACCAAUGAAUAGUAAGUUAGCAGACACUGCCUUCACCUGGCCUGGCUACCUCAUCAAUUGCUGAUUUUAAAUAUUCUCAGGUGGCAUUGCCUCUACACUCAGUUUUUAAUGAGCUCUACUUAGCCACAUUCCUCUAAUCUACCUGUUUCAAGAUGAUUUAUGAUCAAGACUUUUCUUAGAAUAUUUCAGGUAAGACUAAAGCCAGGAAUUGCUACUUAACCUUUAUUCCUUGAGCACCCUCUUUGCUCUGUCAUUCUCGUAUAGUGCCACAAAUUCCUUUCCUUUCUAAGGCACAGAAGAACUGCUUCUUGUUGGAGAAACACAGAAUCCUGGAAACACGUGAAUUCCUCUUUGGACUAAUUCAUUUGUACUUUAAAUUUGACCUACCAUAUUUUUCUCUUCAUUUGGGCAAGCUUUGAUUUUUUUUAGACAAUGUAUUUUUUUCUAAUUACAAACUAAAGACAUACGUGAUAAGUUUAGAAAAUAUAGAAAGCUCUAGUGAAGAGACAGAGAAUCACCUAUAAUCUUCCCAUUUAUUAUUAAUUGCUUUGUAUCUUCCUAACCCCCUUUUUACAUAGUAACGUAGUUAGGAUCAUAUCGUACAUACUAUUUAUAUCUCCUUUUCACUCAAUAAUUCAUCAUUAAUAUUUCCCCAUAAUGAUAAAUAUUAUGUUUUAUGGUUGUUAAUAUUACAUAGGGUACAGUAGUCCCUAAUUUAAUAAAUCAAAUCCCCGACUGAUUUGUUAAUUAACUUGAUUGUGAAAAUCAUUUCACAGCAUAUAUAUAUAUAUAUAUCAAAUCAUCACAUUGUACACGUUAAAUAUAUACAAUUUUAUUUGCCAA
rnacentral:lncRNA from 1 species